CCUGUCGGUACUUGAAGAAGCGGAGCCAGGGCUGAGAUCCCGAAGGCGGGCGAGGUCUGGGAUGGGGCGGGGCCUAUGGGAGCGGGGCUGAAGCCCUGGGCCCGGCAGAGGAAGGUCGAGAUGGACCAUGUUGGGCCCCUUCUCUCCCCGCCCCCAGGCCGCAGUUCGGGGGCCACGCCCCGGCGUGCUCGGGUCACCGCGGGAAGCCCUUGAACCCCCUGGCGCCCGGCACCCACGUGCGGUAACCGCGGCUCCUCGAGAGCUCCAGGGAUGCGGAUCUACAGUAAGGGCUGUGGCCAGAUGAAUGAAUGCACAUUUUUUAGUGGGCAGAAAGAUGUUAGAAUUCAUGAAUUAGAAUAAGCACAAAGGAGGGCGAGAGGGGAGGCCGUGGAAGCCGCAUUCCUCCCCUUGCCUUGGGCGCCCACCCCCGAAGGGGCGCGUCCCCUCCCUGCUCCACUGCACGUGGGUGUUUAACCAGGGGAUAUCCAGUGCCUCAAGCACCACGACCCGGGAGAAAACUGAGUUGAGAAGGCCUUGGGGAUGAAGGUGAGAAAUUCGAGAAUCCCCGGAGAUAACACAUCAGCAAAUAGUGCGCAGGCAGAACAAGCUGUUGGAGGUGAGAGACACAGAGCAGAGAAGCACCCGCACCUGGAGAGUCAGGAGGGCCUCACAUCAGAACGCCUGAGCAAAUACAGUUUUGAAGGAUACUAAUUUUUUAAAAAGUUCAUUCACAUGAGUUAGACAAAGAGAAAGAAGCAGGACAUUCUAGGAAGAAGGAACGGCCCAGGCAAAAGCGACGCGUACAUUGGCGUGGGUCCAUUCAAGAAUUGUGCCCACAAUAUACCAGGCACUUGUCCAGACCUGCAUCGUCCAAUGCCCACCUCGACCUCCCAAAGUGUUGGGAUUAGAGGCGUGAGCCACCGCGCCCUGCCUGCAUGUGGCUAUUGAGAUGUGCUGUAUG
rnacentral:lncRNA from 1 species